rnacentral:rRNA from 1 species
UACGGAGGGGGCGAGCGUUGUUCGGAGUUACUGGGCGUAAAGCGCACGUAGGCGGUGCGGUAAGUCAGGGGUUAAAGGCUGCAGCUCAACUGCAGUAAGGCCUUUGAUACUAUCGUGCUAGAGUGUCAGAGAGGAUGGCGGAAUUCCCGGUGUAGCGGUGAAAUGCGUAGAUAUAUGGAGGAACACCAGUAGCGAAGGCGGCCAUCUGGCUGGUAACUGACGCUGAGGUGCGAGAGCGUGGGGAGCAAACAGG